GACCGUGGGGUUUCAAAUUUUGCCCAUUACUAAUAAUGAACGAAGAGGGAAUGGAUUUGAUAUUUUCUUUAGCAGCUGAGUACCCAAAUACUAUGGUUCAUCUAUACAUUGUACGAGAAUCAGUUCUCAAUUGUCAGGAGGGCAAUAACAUCUUCACCAGUAAGGAAAUGGCUCCAUAUGUAAAUUUGCUGACACAAGAUGUUGAAUCUCCGAUAUUACCUGCACCUACAACUUCAUGCACUCAAUCUUUUCUUAAAGAUAAGCAUGGUGCACAAUGGUUGCCAUCUUCAAAUAAUGAUAUCAUUUUUCGUGCUAUGAGUAGUAUGUCACCUUCAUUGAAACCCAUCCAAUCAUCAUUACCUACUC
rnacentral:lncRNA from 1 species